rnacentral:rRNA from 1 species
GACGAACGCUGGCGGCGCWUCUAAUACUUGCAGUUCGAACGCACGAAGUUGAAAAGCUUGCUUUUCGACCAAGUGAGUGGCGGACGGGUGAGUAACACGUGGGUAACCUGCCCAUAAGAGGGGGAUAACAUUCGGAAACGGAUGCUAAUACCGCAUAUUUCAAGUGACCGCAUGGUCGCUUGAUGAAAGGUGGCUUCGGCUACCACUUAUGGAUGGACCCGCGGUGCAUUAGUUAGUUGGUGAGGUAAUGGCUCACCAAGACCAUGAUGCAUAGCCGACCUGAGAGGGUGAUCGGCCACACUGGGACUGAGACACGGCCCAGACUCCUACGGGAGGCAGCAGUAGGGAAUCUUCCGCAAUGGACGAAAGUCUGACGGAGCAAUGCCGCGUGAGUGAAGAAGGUUUUCGGAUCGUAAAACUCUGUUGUUAGAGAAGAACAAGGAUGAGAGUAACUGCUCAUCCCCUGACGGUAUCUAACCAGAAAGCCACGGCUAACUACGUGCCAGCAGCCGCGGUAAUACGUAGGUGGCAAGCGUUGUCCGGAUUUAUUGGGCGUAAAGCGAGCGCAGGCGGUUCUUUAAGUCUGAUGUGAAAGCCCCCGGCUCAACCGGGGAGGGUCAUUGGAAACUGGAGAACUUGAGUGCAGAAGAGGAGAGUGGAAUUCCAUGUGUAGCGGUGAAAUGCGUAGAUAUAUGGAGGAACACCAGUGGCGAAGGCGACUCUCUGGUCUGUAACUGACGCUGAGGCUCGAAAGCGUGGGGAGCAAACAGGAU